CCCGUAGCCAUAUCAGUAUGAAUGGUGGAGCUGCAGAGGACAGCUCUGGUGCAGCAGUGAAGAAAGUUAGUGAGGAGAGAAACACACACAGAGAGAGAAAGAAAGAGAGAGAGGAAGCGCGCAUCAUGGCUCGCUGUGUUCAGGAUGACUUUUAAUCCGCAGAGCAAAAGUUUGAAAGUGAAAGAAAGCCAUUGGUGCAGAUGCACGCCUUGCAAUUGUUGCCUGAGUAAAAAAAAGAAAAAGAAAAAAAAAAGAAGAACAGAAGACGUGUAAAGUGUGCGCCUGCCUGCCUGCCAUUGACGCCGGGGUUUGCAGUGAAGACUUUCUGAUGAAGAGGAGAAUGAAGACUGACAAACUGGGCUGAGGCACAAUGUUGAGAAACAGUUUCCACCACAGGACUAUCGACUUGGUUUCCACCACAUUCACCUAUCCUGACAAGUAGCGGGGAAACCACCCCAGCACAGCUCAUCUGUUGAGAUGUUGCUGAGUCAGUUUGGGGUCAUGACAUCAUCAUCAUGAGAUGGGGAGCCUGGUGAACAGUGACCGCAGGCGGCGACAGAAGAGGUGGUGCUGUGUGUUGCGUUUUGCAGCUGCUGGUAGUUGGCAAAAAAAAAAAAUUGUCAACUCCCUUUUUUUUCUUGGCAAAAAAAACCAAAAAAAAAAAAAACAACCUGUCAACUCCACAGAAUUUUUUUCUUUGCCAAGAACCUCAGGGAAUCCUUUGCUCCAGUGUUGAAUGGAAGAACAAAUUCUCAAGAGAUUUGAAGAGGCAGUAAGUCAGAUUUUUAUUGCUGCAUUCCACCAAAUGACCAUAAAACACCUGCAGGAGGUUGGUAAUCGUCCAUGUUCUGAGGUCUUUUGGCCAAACCGUCUUUCCGGCUUGUGGGUUGUUUUGGAGCAAAAUCUCCACACCCAGUGAAGUAAUUCUGAUGCUGUUGAAACCCUGACUGGUGGUGACCACAGCUACUAACACACGAGUGAAAGAUUAGCCUCUGGGGUCCAUCUCUUCACCAGUGAUUAUACAGAGUAGGUUUAAUUUACAGUAACAUAACUUUAUUUAUAUAUGAUGUAGAGACAAUGUGAGAAUAUCCCAUACAGUCUCUCAUUCAUCUCUGUAGAUCGUAACGAGUGAUUUACAGACAUUCAUAGACUUUCAGUGAAAGAGGCACAAAUGAGUUUGGAUAAAAUCAUUUUAACUCUAAAUAAACUAUAUUAGUUUUAUUUCUUACAUUUUUAAAUCUGAUAAACAAACAGACAUCCUGCUGCUUAACAAGUUCAUUAUAGUGAAAUAAAAGUUUUUGAAGCAUCCAUUGACCUUUAAUGACUGAAUGAAUUUGUUCUUCCUCUCUGUAUGUUGCAGCUAAUGCACCUCGUCUUUUAUCUAAAUGAUCAAAAUAAUGAAAUGAAUCCAUGAACUUAAACAUUAAGUUACAAUUCAACUGAAUCAAGGGCUCGUUUUGAUAUCAUAAUGUAAGGUCAUGAAACACACUCAGCACAUAAGAUCCUAUUGUUUACAAUCUAACAGUGUGUUUGUGUCUGACAUACACAGCUCAUAAAAAUGAUGAUCAGUUUGUUAAUUUAGGGGUGUGAUUAAUGAUCAUUAAUUAAUUGAUCAUUUUUAAUAUUUUAUAUAAUUCAUCUGCUAAUUAUUUCCUCAAUUAAUCAUUCAGCCUAUUAAAUGAAUCCAGAGUUGACGUCCUCAGAUUGUUCUGUCAAACCAACAGUCAAAACUCAAAGAUUCACUUUGUCAUCACAGGAGACAAAAAUCUCACGAUUUAGAAGUUCAGAUCAGUGAAUGAUUGGCACUUUUUUUAUUUAAGUGAUUAAUCAAUAAUUAAAUCAGUUAAAUCUAAUUGAUUAUUAGAUCAUUAUUAUUUUUCUGUCUGCCAUCUAAUUGAUUUAUUAACUAAUCAUUUCAACUCUGACAUUAGUUGAAUGUCAGCUUCCUGCCUUCCUCCGUAGACUGUCAAUACACUUUAGUGAACAAAAACACUAACGCCCUAUUAACUUAAUUUCAGUUUAUGCUCACAGAAACACGAAGAGUUAAAUAAAGCUAUUAUAAAGUUGGAUUUAUUUUUCCUGUAUCAGAGGCUUCACAUGGAGGUAUUUAAGGACGACUCAGCACUUCCUCAAAAUCGUAACUAUAACAUGGCUGCUUGUGUGUUUUGGCAGUGGAAGAGCUACAAACUGGCCUGAUUGGACUCAUUUCAGUGACUCUGUGGCAAGUGGAGCUGAAAGGAUCAAGUCCAGCUGUGAUACAUGUGUGUGAAUAAAUGUGAAAAAAAGAAUGGAUAAUAUUUAAAAACUUCAGAUCCUUAACGAUCUCCAUUAAACUUGCUUGAAAAUAUUUAAAUAAUUUGAGGAAAAUUAGAUUCUAAUAAUAGGAUCCCCAACAAAAAUAAUUAAAACAUAAAGCAUGUUAACUACAUCAUCGAUAUCAUACUUUUCAUAUAAUACUCUUUAGAAGUACGUAAUAAAAAUGUAAUUAAUUAAUUAUAUUUGAAGAGUUGUGACUGGGUUUCAUAUGAUCACUAAACCUCUGGCUGAGUGAGACUGGUGACUAACUCUGCAGUGUUUUAAAACUAUCACCAGGUCAUAAUUUAUGGGUUGAGUGAGUUUCAUGACCCUCAGGCUGUUGUCACACAUUAAAACCGCAUUGUUAAAUUUCAAACAUAGUCAGUGUAAACAUGCAUCAUUCCUGAAAAAUUUACUUCGCCCAAGCACAUUUUCCCUUCGGAAUUGUGAAUUUCUCUUUGUCCUGCAGUGAACCAACUUUUCUGUCUAACAAAAAAACAAAAAAACAAAAACAAAACAGGUUUUGAGCCUGAAAAAAGAGAAGUUUUGUGAAAUUUGUCUUCUAGCACUCUGUAAGCAGGAACAGUUAAUGAUUUUAACAGGGUGAGAGAACCAGCAUGAAAAACUGCAGUGGUCACUGAGAACAUGUCCACACUAAUGCAAAUCUGUAAACAGCUUCUUUCAUUUCAUCAAGCACAGAGAACCGCACUUGUCAAAAGUCCUGACCUGUGGUGUCACAUUUUAUGGUCAGAUGAUCCAUUUUAGAGACUUGCUGUUCUGUAAAUGACACAAAUCUCCAAUAUGAUCAGCAAACAAUUUUUUAGGAAACAAUUGUGUGUGUGGAUAGGACACACGUGGCACACUGAUGUCAUUUUCUUGACUUAAUCUGCAUUAGUGUGAACAUGACCUGAGAAAGAAAGGAAGGGGAAAACAGGUGAACUCAUGUGAACACGUGUCCGUAAUCUAUAAUACAUACAUUGUAUUUAACAGAUACCUUAAAUGUGACAAGGGGCACCAACCUAAUCCACAGACAUUGGUUUGCAUUGUAUUUUCUAACCUUAUCAUAUUUUUUAUACUUUUUUUUAAUGUAAAAUCUUAAUAUGAAAGUUAAUUAGCAACUACAAGGUGUUGGUUAGAGCCCCUUGUCAACUUCGAGGUGUGUACAGUUGACGUUUAUUGGGAGGGGGUCUUCAAGUGACCCAUGUGGGAACAGUCUUGCCAGUGACCUCCAGGUAAUUUAAAGGCCCCUGAUUUAGGAGUUUGUCUGUGUUUCUUUUUAAGAUAGAUAGAUAUUUGGCUGUUCUCACAGCAGCUUGUAGACAGCCUCAAGAAAGCAGAGAGAUCGAGGGUGAGAGAAAAAGAUGCUGAACCAAAACAAGGAAGGCAGUCAGACUGUGUGUGUGUGUGUGUGUGUGUGUGUGUGUGUGUGUGUGUGUGUGUUAGUGUUUGAAAGAGAGUGUGUGAACUAGGAAGAGAGGAACAAAGAUCGAAAAGAAAAGAGUGCGUGUGAAAGAAAGCAAGACAGGGUGAGUUAGGGAGAGAGAGAAAGAGGAGGGGAGAUAUAUUUGUCUGCCUAUAAAGCACAGCACGCUUCUCAUUUUGAUUUCUGGACCUGUCGAGUAAAGUUUAGCAGAAGUGAAUCCUGACUGUAAGAAAUGAUCACAAUACACCAAUAAAACAUCUCAAACUGA